rnacentral:rRNA from 1 species
UACGCAGGGUGCAAGCGUUAAUCGGAAUUACUGGGCGUAAAGCGUGCGCAGGCGGUUAUGCAAGACAGAUGUGAAAUCCCCGGGCUCAACCUGGGAACCGCAUUUGUGACUGCAUGGCUAGAGUACGGCAGAGGGGGAUGGAAUUCCGCGUGUAGCAGUGAAAUGCGUAGAUAUGCGGAGGAACACCGAUGGCGAAGGCAAUCCCCUGGGCCUGCACUGACGCUCAUGCACGAAAGCGUGGGGAGCAAACAGG